rnacentral:rRNA from 1 species
UACGGGGGGGGCAAGCGUUGUUCGGAAUUACUGGGCGUAAAGGGCUCGUAGGCGGCCAACUAAGUCAGACGUGAAAUCCCUCGGCUUAACCGGGGAACUGCGUCUGAUACUGGAUGGCUUGAGUGUGGGAGAGGGAUGCGGAAUUCCAGGUGUAGCGGUGAAAUGCGUAGAUAUCAAGAGGAACACCUGCGGCGAAGGCGGGUUGCUGGGCCGACACUGACGCUGAGGCGCGAAAGCUAGGGGAGCGAACGGG